UACGAAGGGGGCUAGCGUUGCUCGGAAUUACUGGGCGUAAAGGGCGCGUAGGCGGACAGUUUAGUCAGAGGUGAAAGCCCAGGGCUCAACCCUGGAAUUGCCUUUGAUACUGACUGUCUUGAGUACGGGAGAGGUGUGUGGAACUCCGAGUGUAGAGGUGAAAUUCGUAGAUAUUCGGAAGAACACCAGUGGCGAAGGCGACACACUGGCCCGUUACUGACGCUGAGGCGCGAAAGCGUGGGAGC
rnacentral:rRNA from 1 species